rnacentral:rRNA from 1 species
AUUGAACGCUGGCGGCGUGCCUUACACAUGCAAGUCGAACGGUAACAGGUCUUCGGAUGCUGACGAGUGGCGAACGGGUGAGUAAUACAUCGGAACGUGCCCGAUCGUGGGGGAUAACGAAGCGAAAGCUUUGCUAAUACCGCAUAAGAUCUACGGAUGAAAGCAGGGGACCGCAAGGCCUUGCGCGAACGGAGCGGCCGAUGGCAGAUUAGGUAGUUGGUGGGAUAAAAGCUUACCAAGCCGACGAUCUGUAGCUGGUCUGAGAGGACGACCAGCCACACUGGGACUGAGACACGGCCCAGACUCCUACGGGAGGCAGCAGUGGGGAAUUUUGGACAAUGGGCGAAAGCCUGAUCCAGCCAUGCCGCGUGCAGGAUGAAGGCCUUCGGGUUGUAAACUGCUUUUGUACGGAACGAAAAGACUCUGGUUAAUACCUGGGGUCCAUGACGGUACCGUAAGAAUAAGCACCGGCUAACUACGUG